AUUGAACGCUGGCGGCAGGCCUAACACAUGCAAGUCGAGCGGUAACACAGGGAGCUUGCUCCCGGGUGACGAGCGGCGGACGGGUGAGUAAUGUCUGGGAAACUGCCUGACGGAGGGGGAUAACUACUGGAAACGGUAGCUAAUACCGCAUAACGUCGCACGACCAAAGAGGGGGACCUUCGGGCCUCUUUCCAUCAGAUGUGCCCAGAUGGGAUUAGCUAGUAGGUGGGGGAACGGCCCACCUAGGCGACGAUCCCUAGAUGGGUUGAGAGGAUGACCAGCCACACUGGAACUGAGACACGGUCCAGACUCCUACGGGAGGCAGCAGUGGGGAAUAUUGCACAAUGGGGGCAAGCCUGAUGCAGCCAUGCCGCGUGUAUGAAGAAGGCCUUCGGGUUGUAAAGUACUUUCAGCGGGGAGGAAGGUGCUGAGGUUAAUAACCUCAGCAAUUGACGUUACCCGCAGAAGAAGCACCGGCUAACUCCGUGCCAGCCGCCGCCGUAAGAC
rnacentral:rRNA from 1 species